AAACGGAGGAGCAUAUACAUUGCUAAAGGCGUACAUGUCGCCGGAACAGCUUAUAAGCCGACCAACUGAGAAAAACCUAACAUUUCUAGCCAGCGGCUGUAUAUUUUCCUGGCAAUACUUCCUCUGUCAUCACUGGAAACAUGCUCUCUCAAGGGCGACGUGAAAUAAACACAUUUUGGAUGCGCUGAUUCCGCGUGCUGCGAGGAAGCCGGCUCACUUAUGUGCAAGCCCUCGUGGAAUCAACUUAACCGAACAGAACCGAAACACCACUGGUUCUCCUGCUGACGUAUGCU